UGGGGAAUUUUGGACAAUGGGGGCAACCCUGAUCCAGCAACGCCGCGUGAAUGAAGAAGGCCUUCGGGUUGUAAAGUUCUUUUGUCAGAGAGCAAAGAAUUAUUGUGAAUAGCAGUAAAAGCUGAGAGUAUCUGAAGAAUAAGCACCGGCUAACUACGUGCCAGCAGCCGCGGUAAUACGUAGGGUGCAAGCGUUAAUCGGAAUAACUGGGCGUAAAGCGUGCGCAGGCGGAUGAUUAAGUUAGAAGUGAAAUGCCCGGGCUUAACCUGGGGACGGCUUUUAAGACUGAUGAUCUAGAGUUUGUGAGAGGGGGGUGGAAUUCCAAGUGUAGCAGUGAAAUGCGUAGAGAUUUGGAGGAACACCGAUGGCGAAGGCAGCCCCCUGGGAUAAAACUGACGCU
rnacentral:rRNA from 1 species